UAGAAAAUGGGAAACUAUACUAGCCUUGGU
rnacentral:piRNA from 1 species